AUGCUUCGCAAUUGCCCUACUCAUGGUUUGAAUUUAUGGAUGAUCAUACAAAAAUUUUAUGCCGGUUUGAACUUUGCUUCUAGAAAUCUCUUAGAUUCAGCCGCGGGAGGCACGUUUAUGGAAAUAACGUUGGGUGAUGCUACAAAACUUCUUGAUAAUAUUAUGGCUAAUUAUUCUCAAUGGCACACCAAAAGAUCUUCUAGUAAAAAGGUGCAUGCUAUAGAAGAAAUCAAUGUUUUGAGUGGAAAGAUGGAUGAACUUAUGAAAUUGUUUGCUACUAAAAACACUCCUUUUGAUCCCAAUGAUAUGCCUUUGUCUUCCUUGAUUGAGAAUAAUAAUGAAUCUAUGGAUGUGAAUUUUGUUGGUAGGAAUAGUUUUGCAAACAAUGCUUAUAGAGGAAACUUUAAUGCUAGACCAUUCCCUAGUAAUUCCUCUAAUAAUUAUGGAAAUUCCUACAAUAAUUCUUAUGGUAAUUUCAAUAAGUUUCCCUCUGAUUUUGAGAAUAGUGUGAAAGAAUUUAUGGUUUCUCAAAAGAAUUUUAAUGCUUUGCUUGAAGAAAAAUUGCUCAAAGUUGACGAUUUGGCUAGGAACGUUGAUAGACUUUCGCUUGAUGUUGAUUCUCUUAAACUUAGAUCUUCUCCUCCUAAGCAUGAUAUCAAUGAGUCUCUCAAAGUAAUGAGAAUUUCCAUUGAUGAGUGUAAGGAAAGAACCGCUAGAUUGCGUGCUAAAAAAGGAUUGCUUUAUAAAAGCGUGUUCUUCUAG
rnacentral:rRNA from 1 species